rnacentral:misc_RNA from 1 species
CGCACAUUGCGCCCUCUGGCAUUCCGGAGGGCAUGCCUGUCCGAGCGUCAUUAUCCACCCUCGAGCCCGGCUCGGUCUUGGGUCCCGUCGGGCCAACCGCCAGACGGACCCGAAAGGGAAUGACCGAUCCUGUGUAGACCCCUGGAUGCAGUGAGCUUCUGGCACGUGUUGCAGCGGUCUCCAGGCUCCGGCUUAACCGAUCAUCUCACGAUUGACCUCGGAUCAGGUAGGGAUACCCGCUGAACUUAA